rnacentral:rRNA from 1 species
AUGUGCUUUUUGUCUCCACAUGGAUCGAAAUUCAUAUCGCUCUAUAAUGCCCUGCUCAGGGGAGAUCGGGAUGCUGCGCGCCGCGCCCUGCUUGGAUCUGAUGGAGCGGGGGAGAUAGUGGUCGGGGCAUGGGAUGGCGCCUUCGUCGUCAGACCAUUGGGAUUCAGCAUAUUUCUGCAGUCUUCUUUAGAGAUCAGGAGGGUUCGAUUCAACACAAUUCCGGGCUUGGGUUCCUGUCGAACAAAAUCAUCUCGACAGCAUUCCUCUUUCUUGCUUCUUAUUAGUCAAACUCUGAAAUCAAUUUCUAUAUUUUAG